rnacentral:rRNA from 1 species
UACAGAGGGGGCAAGCGUUAUUCGGAAUUAUUGGGCGUAAAGGGCGCGUAGGCGGCCUGGCAAGUGGAAGGUGAAAUCCCUCGGCUUAACCGAGGAACUGCCCUCCAAACUGCUUGGCUUGAGACCAGGAGAGGUGAGUGGAAUUCCCAGUGUAGCGGUGAAAUGCGUAGAUAUUGGGAGGAACACCAGUGGCGAAGGCGGCUCACUGGAACGGUACUGACGCUGAGACGCGAAAGCGUGGGGAGCGAACAGG